GACGAACGCUGGCGGCGUGCCUAAUACAUGCAAGUAGAACGCUGAAGAGAGGAGCUUGCUCUUCUUGGAUGAGUUGCGAACGGGUGAGUAACGCGUAGGUAACCUGCCUUGUAGCGGGGGAUAACUAUUGGAAACGAUAGCUAAUACCGCAUAACAAUGGAUGACACAUGUCAUUUAUUUGAAAGGGGCAAUUGCUCCACUACAAGAUGGACCUGCGUUGUAUUAGCUAGUAGGUGAGGUAACGGCUCACCUAGGCGACGAUACAUAGCCGACCUGAGAGGGUGAUCGGCCACACUGGGACUGAGACACGGCCCAGACUCCUACGGGAGGCAGCAGUAGGGAAUCUUCGGCAAUAGGGGCAACCCUGACCGAGCAACGCCGCGUGAGUGAAGAAGGUUUUCGGAUCGUAAAGCUCUGUUGUAAGUCAAGAACGAGUGUGAGAGUGGAAAGUUUACACUGUGACGGUAGCUUACCAGAAAGGGACGGCUAACUACGUG
rnacentral:rRNA from 1 species